CAUUUAGUUGGGCACUUUAAAGAGACUGCCGGUGUUAAGCCGGAGGAAGUGGGGAUGACGUCAAGUCCUCAUGGCCUUUAUGCCCAGGGCUACACACGUGCUACAAUGGGCGGUACAAAGAGAAGCAACCUCGCGAGGGUGAGCAAAUCUCAAAAAGCCGUUCUCAGUUCGGAUUGAAGUCUGCAACUCGACUUCAUGAAGUCGGAAUCGCUAGUAAUCGCGGAUCAGCAUGCCGCGGUGAAUACGUUCCCGGGCCUU
rnacentral:rRNA from 1 species